rnacentral:rRNA from 1 species
UAGCCAGACUCCUACGGGAGGCAGCAGUGAGGAAUAUUGGUCAAUGGGCGAGAGCCUGAACCAGCCAAGUCGCGUGAAGGAUGACGGCCCUACGGGUUGUAAACUUCUUUUGUCAGGGAGCAAUUGGGUCCACGCGUGGGCUUAGCGAGAGUACCUGAAGAAAAAGCAUCGGCUAACUCCGUGCCAGCAGCCGCGGUAAUACGGAGGAUGCGAGCGUUAUCCGGAUUUAUUGGGUUUAAAGAGUGCGCAGGCGGAGGUGCAAGUCAGUGGUCAAAUUGCGGGGCUCAACCCCGUACUGCCGUUGAAACUGGCUGUCUUGAGAUGUCGAGAGGUAUGCGGAAUGCGCAGUGUAGCGGUGAAAUGCAUAGAUAUCACGCAGAACUCCGAUUGCGAAGGCAGCAUACCGGCGCUCAACUGACGCUCAUGCACGAAAGCGUGGGUAUCGAACAGGAUUAGAUACCCCAGUAU